UACACGAUGAGCGUGUGUUGGUUGCU
rnacentral:piRNA from 1 species